rnacentral:rRNA from 1 species
AUUGAACGCUGGCGGCAUGCUUUACACAUGCAAGUCGAACGGCAGCGCGGGCUUCGGCCUGGCGGCGAGUGGCGAACGGGUGAGUAAUACAUCGGAACGUGCCCAGUAGUGGGGGAUAGCUCGGCGAAAGCCGGAUUAAUACCGCAUACGACCUGAGGGUGAAAGCGGGGGAUCUUCGGACCUCGCGCUAUUGGAGCGGCCGAUGGCAGAUUAGCUAGUUGGUGGGGUAAAGGCCUACCAAGGCGACGAUCUGUAGCUGGUCUGAGAGGACGACCAGCCACACUGGGACUGAGACACGGCCCAGACUCCUACGGGAGGCGGCAGUGGGGAAUUUUGGACAAUGGGCGAAAGCCUGAUCCAGCAAUGCCGCGUGUGUGAUGAAGGCCUUCGGGUUGUAAAGCACUUUUGGCGGGAACGAAAAGGACUGUGCCAAUACCAUGGUUCGAUGACGGUACCCGCAGAAUAAGCACCGGCUAACUACGUG